GGUCAGUGAUGAGAUGUAAAAGGUCCGAAGCCUUCGUCUCUCUCUCCAGUCCUUCUGUCCCUCCCAGCAGCCACGGUUAAUUUUUCUCCAGCUUGCUCUAGUCGUGCAUCGCUGGUUCGAGGUGGCGGCUGAUAUUAUGGAUGAGUCUGCUGUAUAUUUAGAGUCUUUUAGAGAGCAAGACGACUUGAUAACAGCAGUGUCAAACAGUAACAUAACACACAGGAGGGCCGGACUGAAGGAGAACGUCUGGCAGGCUCAUGAUCUCAAGUUUUCAAGCUGAGACC
ensembl:scaRNA